rnacentral:rRNA from 1 species
GCCAGACUCCUACGGGAGGCAGCAGUGGGGGAUAUUGCACAAUGGGGGGAACCCUGAUGCAGCGACGCCGCGUGGGUGAAGGAGCGUUUCGGCGCGUAAAGCCCUAUCGGCAGGGAAGAAGGAGGACGGUACCUGACUAAGAAGCCCCGGCUAACUACGUGCCAGCAGCCGCGGUAAUACGUAGGGGGCAAGCGUUAUCCGGAUUUACUGGGUGUAAAGGGGGCGCAGACGGCAGCGCAAGCCAGGAGUGAACGCCCGGGGCCCAACCCCGGGACUGCUCUUGGAACUGCGCGGCUGGAGUGCAGGAGGGGCAGGCGGAAUUCCUGGUGUAGCGGUGAAAUGCGUAGAUAUCAGGAGGAACACCGGUGGCGAAGGCGGCCUGCUGGACUGCGACUGACGUUGAGGCCCGAAAGCGUGGGGAGCAAACAGGAUUAGAUACCCUGGUA